ensembl:lncRNA
CUACAUUCAGAGCUUUAUCUAUACACAGACAGGGGCUGCACAUGCAGGUGGAGAAGCCCUUUGAACACCCCCGUGACUCUGCGGUGUCAUCUAGUUAAUCUGUAAACCUAGAGGGAGUCCUCCCUUCUGUUGUACGACUGUGAUGCUUAGUAUCAGCACUGUAUUCAGGAGCAGCCCAAGAUAGGACUAGAGUGGGUAGCGGACCUCUGAUGACCAGCAAGGGAGAUGGCAGAGCUUCCUUCAAAAGCCACCGCUGCUUCGAUGGUCAUCACACAGAGAUCUGGCAGGAUCCCAUAUUCUACAUGACUCUUAAAAGAAAACACAUGUGGCUUGUGAUAUCAUUGCAUAGCACAGUGUUUUUAUAAUUUUACUUACAUUAUGUUAUGUACUUUAAUCCUUUGAACUUUAAGAAACAGAAAAUUAAGUAUCUCUCCGAUUGUGCGUAAAGGAAAAUAUAUCUUGCCUCAUAUUUUGAUAAUACUUUUAUGUAACUGAUCUCAUUUAAAUCAUAUAACAACCCACUGUGGCCAAUUACAGGUCUUACCCCAACUUUACCGCUCUGAACACUGAGCCUCGGGACAUGGCUUUGAUGUGAUUUACAAGGUGGACCUGAUGUUCAUUUUCCAUUGCCACAGCGACAGGAAGGAAAGCUGAAACCAGGAGUGCCGGCGGGAGAGCUGCAGGGCAGGACGCAAUGCCAUCAAGUGACUGGAGUCUCGUUAUUAGGAAAUGUGGAAAGGUUACUGAAACUGCAUCCAGUGAAGGCUUUAUAGUUUUUAAAAACCUCAAAAUGAAGGUUAGUCUGGCAAGGGAUGGCCAACCCCUCACAAAGCUAUUAACCCAUCUAAUUGGAAUUUGAUCAUGACAAUUAAAGGCACAUGUCAGUCUUUUCUUUUUAUGACCUUCAAAUAAGAUCUACGUCUGAAAGCCCUGUCUAUGACGACAAUUGAUUUCAGUUCAUUUCAGUCGCUCAGUCGUGUCCGACUCUUUGUGACCCCAUGAAUCGCAGCAUGCCAGGCCUCACUGUCCAUCACCAGUUCCCAGAGUUCACUCAGACUCAUGUCCAUUGAGUCGGUGAUGCCAUCCAGCCAUCUCAUCCUCUGUCGCCCCCUUCUCCUUCUGCCCCCAACCCCUCCCAGCAUAAGGGUCUUUUCCAAUGAGUCAACUCUUCCCAUGAGGUGGCCAAAGUACUGGAGUUCCAGCUUUAGCAUCAUUCCUUCCAAAGAAAUCCCAGGACUAAUUUCCUUCAGAAUGGACUGGUUGGAUCUCCUUGCAGUCCAUGGACUCUCAAGAGUCUUCUCCAACACCACAGUUUAAAAGCAUCACUUCUUCGGUGCUCAGCUUUCUUCACAGUCCAACUCUCACAUCCAUACAUGACCACUGGAGAAACCAUAGCCUUGACUAGACGGACCUUUGUUGGCAAAGUAAUGUCUCUGCUUUUGAAUAUGUUAUCUAGGUUGGUCAUAACUUUCCUUCCCAGGAGUAAGCGUCUUUUAAUUUCAUGGCUGCAGUCACCAUCUGCAGUGAUUUUGGAGCCCAAAAAAAAAAUAAGUCUGACACUGUUUCCACUGUUUCCCCAUCUAUUUCCCAUGAAGUGAUGGGGCCAGAUGCCAUGAUCUUCGUUUUCUGAAUGUUGAGCUUUAAGCCAAUUUUUUCACUCUCCUCUUUCACUUUCAUCAAGAGGCUUUUUAGUUCCUCUUCACUUUCUGCCAAGGCAAUGCCAAAGAAUGCUCAAACUACCACACAAUUGCACUCAUCUCACACACUAGUAAAGUAAUGCUCAAAAUUCUCCAAGCCAGGCUUUAGCAAUACGUGAACCGUGAACUUCCAGAUGUUCAAGCUGGUUUUAGAAAAGGCAGAGGAACCAAAGAUCAAAUUGCCAACAUCUGCUGGAUCAUCGAAAAAGCAAGAGAGUUCCAGAAAAACAUCUAUUUCUGCUUUAUUGACUAUUCCAAAGCCUUUGACUGUGUGGAUCACAAUAAAUUGUGGAAAAUUCUGAAAGAGAUAGGAAUACCAGACCACCUGACCUGACUCUUGAGAAACCUAUAUGCAGGUCAGGAAGCAACAGUUAGAACUGGACAUGGACUGGUUCCAAAUAGGAAAAGGAGUACGUCAAGACUGUAUAUUGUCAACCUGCUUAUUGAACUUAUAUGCAGAGUACAUCAUGAGAAACGCUGGGCUGGAAGAAGCACAAGCUGGAAUCAAGGUUGCCGGGAGAAAUAUCAAUAACCUCAGAUAUACAGACAAUUGGUUUAGAAAACAGAAAAUUGUGUGAGGGGCAUUAAAAAGAAGGUCUGGCCUUCAGUAAACCUUUUACCCUUCUUUGGAAUAAGUGUGUUACUUCGUGUUAUCUUUGCUUUUACUUUUAAAAUGAUUAUUCUCAACUUGAGGCAUAAUCUACAAGAUCUAUGCUCUUCAAAAUAUCAAUGUCAUGAAAGACAAAUAAAAGCUGAUGAAGUGUUUCAGGUCAAAAAUGGGUAGAGUGACAAAUAAAUGCAAAAAACAACCCCGGGUUUUUUUUUUUCGCUAUAAAAGACACUAAUGGAAAAAGUGGUGAGAUAUGAAUAAGGCCUGGAUAUUAGAUAACAGUCUCACAUCAAUAUUAAUUUGCUAAUUAUGAUAAUUGUGUGUGAUUCUGUAAGAUAAUAUCCUAAUUUGGGACUAUGUAGAUAUUCAUUUCAAUUAAUACUUAUCCUUGAAGUAUUUAGGGUUAAAGGUAGCAUUGUGUAUGCAACUCACCCUCCGAUAGUUCAGGAAAAGAUUACACAUACAAAGAGAGAGAAGAAUAAAGCAGUGUGAUCCAUAUCUGAGGAUCUGGUGUGAAGCUGUUUGGAAAUCAUUGUAUUAUUCUUUCCUGUAAGUUGAAAAUUAUGUCAAGUACAAAACUGAAGUAAUGAAAGAUAGCUUUUAAAUCUUAAAACAUGUUUAACAUGGUCUUAUUAACAUUAUAUAAAUAUUGCAAGGCACCACCAUAAACACUUAGGAUAGUGCUUUUCCCAAAGCUUUUUAUUUUGUAUUGGGGUAAAUCUAAUUAACAAUGUUGUCAUAGUUUCAGGUAAACAGUGAAGGGACUUAGCAUACACAGUCAUGUCUGCAUUCUCCCUCAAACACCCCUCCCAUACAGGCUGCCAUAUAGCAUUGAGCCGAGUUCCAUGUGCUAUACAGUAGGUCCUUGGCGGUUAACCAUUUUAAAUAUAACAGUGUGUACAUGUCCAUCCCAAACCCCCUCACUAUCCCUUCCCUCCAUCUUCCCCACCACCAUCCCCGCCUCAGCAACCAGAAGUUCAUUCUCUGUCAGUCUGUUUCUGUUUUGUAAAUCAUUCAUUUAAUUACUGAUAAUAUGUGUUUUCCUUUUCAUGACAUACACUAAAAUCCUAAUGAUGAAACCUGAUUUUGCAUUUAUAGUAAGAAAUGAGCUAACUAGUCUUACUAUUAUAUAUAUAUAUAUAUAUAUAUAUAUAUAUCACCAGGAGCAGCAAAUCCUGCCCGUCAUCCAACAGCAAGAAUUGUCCCCUAAGAGAGCUGAUUUACACAGCAGGACAUCAAAUAGAUGAUAAAGGCACAGAAUAUUGGUGAGCAGUUUAAAGGAAUACUAUCAUUUUUACCACUGUACAUUUGAAUAUCACUUUUCUUUUUUUUUAUAAGUAUUUUUGCCCAUAUUAUCUCAUUGUAUACCCUGCCUUAUAUUUAAAACUUGCCGUUUUUCAAGUGGCCAUUUUCACAGCUAGAUGGGAUUUUUAAAAAAUCUAUGUAUAUUUGAAGCUGGUUAAAAACAUCUAUAAUCUGAGAAAGACCUCUUAUUGACUGGAGCUAGAAAAGGAAGAAGGGGAUUUUAUUAUUCUCAAAACUCCUGGAA